GAAACAUCUGGAACCUCUGAGCAAGAUUUCCUCAUUAAACUUCCCCAUUGAAAUGGAUAAUGAGAAUGCAUGAAGAAUUAUAUUUGAUGGGUUGAUGGAGACCUGUCAUUGAUGGAAGGACAAGCCAAACCU
rnacentral:lncRNA from 12 species